CUCACGCGAUUUCUGAAAAUUCUCCUUUCUUCAUCGUUUCAGCACCAUUCUUUCUUUAGUCAUUGUUCUACUCCGAAAACGGUCAUUCCGGCGAUAUCUCCACAACCACUUCUUAGUUCCGACGAUAUCUCGACAACCACUUCUCAAUUUCGGUUAUUAACAGGUUGGAAAUUGUUCACCCUAAUUUGAUUCACAUUUUUCCCAAUUUAAUUCAAUACCCCAAUUUUUUACAUCUUGUUUUGUUGUUGCGACUUUAAGAAUCCUUUUCAGCAUUUUGGGUGUUGUUAUGCUUGGAACCUUUAUAUACACUCUUGUCACUGAUGGUUCUCCUUUCCGUACAGCUAUUGACUCCGUAAGUUCUCAUGUUAGCAUGAACUGCGUGAAUGGAGCAUACAUUUUCUUCUUGUUAAAAGGAACAUUCCUCUCCCAUUAUAUGUACUUCUUUUAGUAGACAUAGAUUGUGGUGUGGACAAUAUUGAAUUUGAAAGUUGUGAUUUAUUAAGUGCUUUUCAUUCUUCAUUUUCCAAAUUAAAUUAUUCACCAAAGCAACACAUGUAUUUUCUGUGUGUCAUUCAAGUAUACAUUUGCAACUUUGUCAUGCUCAUCUGAGUAAGUUUCAGCACUGCUUCUGCUUGUGGGAGUCCCUUUUUGUUAAUGUUAAAGAGGAAUUAACUAGCUAGUUGUAAUGUAUGUACUUGUUGUUGCCUAAUUUUAUUAGAAAGGUUUUAUAAUUAGAGAUAGAGGGAGUAAAAUGCUUGAUUUCUGCUUGAUUUUUGUUAUACUGAUUCAAUAUCAUUCAAAAAAAAUAUUAACUACUUUUUGAAUUUAUGUGGAUUUAGGUUCAAUUUCCAGUGGAUAAGAUGAUGACAAUGUGAGAAAUGGUCAAACAUGGAUGCUUCUCAAGGAAAUUUAUAUGUCAGACAACAAACAGAGAAUACGAACUUGAAGAAUAAGAAAAAAAAAUAGAUUUUAUGUGCUACUGUGUUUGACAACAGUCCUAUGCAGAGUUGCAGUUUUUCAGUGAUGCCACUGCAGUUGCGGUUUGGUGUUGUGUUUGGGAGGCUUGCUAGCGUGUUUUGAAGUUGCUUCUGGAUAGCUUUUAUUGCUAUUUUGGUUUCUGUUAUGUUAAGGUAGCAGGUUUCCAGGGGUUUUUAUCGUUGAGUUUUGAUUUUGGUGGAGAGGCGCCCUUUAUUUUAAGGCCCUCCUUAAUUGUACUCUUUUUGCAACAUCAAAUGUAAUUUCUAUUUUGUGUAUUUGUGAUGUAAUUCACAUUUGUAUUGAUGUGAUUCACAUUUGCAUUGUAAAGCAAAUUAUAUACUAAAUGAAAUAA
rnacentral:lncRNA from 1 species